UACAGAGGUCCCGAGCGUUGUUCGGAUUCACUGGGCGUAAAGGGUGCGUAGGUGGUGAGGUAAGUCGGAUGUGAAAUCUCCGGGCUUAACCCGGAAACUGCAUUGGAAACUACCUUGCUAGAGGUUUUGAGGGGGGACUGGAAUUCUCGGUGUAGCAGUGAAAUGCGUAGAUAUCGAGAGGAACACCGGUGGCGAAGGCGAGUCCCUGGAAAACACCUGACACUGAGGCACGAAAGCUAGGGGAGCAAACA
rnacentral:rRNA from 1 species